AUUGAACGCUGGCGGCAUGCCUUACACAUGCAAGUCGAACGGCAGCACGGACUUCGGUCUGGUGGCGAGUGGCGAACGGGUGAGUAAUAUAUCGGAACAUACCCUAGAGUGGGGGAUAACGUAGCGAAAGUUACGCUAAUACCGCAUACGAACUAAGGUUGAAAGUGGGGGAUCGCAAGACCUCAUGCUCAUGGAGUGGCCGAUAUCUGAUUAGCUAGUUGGUGAGGUAAAGGCUCACCAAGGCGACGAUCAGUAGCUGGUCUGAGAGGACGACCAGCCACACUGGAACUGAGACACGGUCCAGACUCCUACGGGAGGCAGCAGUGGGGGAAUUUUGGACAAUGGGCGCAAGCCUGAUCCAGCCAUUCCGCGUGAGUGAAGAA
rnacentral:rRNA from 1 species